GACGAACGCUGGCGGCGUGCUUAACACAUGCAAGUCGAACGGAAAGGACCUGCUUUUGUGGGGUGCUCGAGUGGCGAACGGGUGAGUAACACGUGAGUAACCUGCCCUUGACUUUGGGAUAACUUCAGGAAACUGGGGCGAAUACCGGAUAGGAGCUCCUGCUGCAUGGUGGGGGUGGGAAAGUUUUGGCGGUUGGGGAUGGACUCGCGGCUCAUCAGCUUGUUGGUGGGGUAGUGGCUUACCAAGGCUUUGACGGGUAGCUGGCCUGAGAGGGUGACCGGCCACAUUGGGACUGAGAUACGGCCAAGACUCCUACGGGGGGCAGCGGUGGGGAAUAUUGCACGAUGGGCGGAAGCCUGGUGCAGCAACGCCGCGUGCGGGAUGACGGCCUUCGGGUUGUAACCCGCUUUCGCCUGUGACGAAGCGUGAGUGACGGUAAUGGGUAAAGAAGCACCGGCUAACUACGUG
rnacentral:rRNA from 1 species